AAUUCGACGCAACGCGCAGAACCUUACCUGGUCUUGACAUCCCGGGAAUCUUGUGGAAACACGAGAGUGCCUCGCAAGAGGAGCCUGGAGACAGGUGCUGCAUGGCUGUCGUCAGCUCGUGUCGUGAGAUGUUGGGUUAAGUCCCGCAACGAGCGCAACCCUUAUCCCUAGUUGCCAUCAGGUAAAGCUGGGAACUCUGGGGAGACUGCCGGUGAUAAACCGGAGAAGGCGGGGAUGACGUCAAGUCCUCAUGGCCCUUACAUCCCGGGCUACACACGUGCUACAAUGGCAGGUACAGAGGGCUGCGAAGCCGCGAGGUGGAGCGAAUCCCAGAAAACCUGUCUCAGUCCGGAUUGAAGUCUGCAACUCGACUUCAUGAAGGCGGAAUCGCUAGUAACCGCGAAUCAGCAGGUCGCGGUGAAUACGUUCCCGGGCCUU
rnacentral:rRNA from 1 species